GAUGAACGCUGGCGGCGUGCCUAAUACAUGCAAGUCGAGCGAACGGACGAGAAGCUUGCUUCUCUGAUGUUAGCGGCGGACGGGUGAGUAACACGUGGAUAACCUACCUAUAAGACUGGGAUAACUUCGGGAAACCGGAGCUAAUACCGGAUAAUAUUUUGAACCGCAUGGUUCAAAAGUGAAAGACGGUCUUGCUGUCACUUAUAGAUGGAUCCGCGCUGCAUUAGCUAGUUGGUAAGGUAACGGCUUACCAAGGCAACGAUGCAUAGCCGACCUGAGAGGGUGAUCGGCCACACUGGAACUGAGACACGGUCCAGACUCCUACGGGAGGCAGCAGUAAGGAAUCUUCCGCAAUGGGCGAAAGCCUGACGGAGCAACGCCGCGUGAGUGAUGAAGGUCUUCGGAUCGUAAAACUCUGUUAUUAGGGAAGAACAUAUGUGUAAGUAACUGUGCACAUCUUGACGGUACCUAAUCAGAAAGCCACGGCUAACUACGUGCCAGCAGCCGCGGUAAUACGUAGGUGGCAAGCGUUAUCCGGAAUUAUUGGGCGUAAAGCGCGCGUAGGCGGUUUUUUAAGUCUGAUGUGAAAGCCCACGGCUCAACCGUGGAGGGUCAUUGGAAACUGGAAAACUUGAGUGCAGAAGAGGAAAGUGGAAUUCCAUGUGUAGCGGUGAAAUGCGCAGAGAUAUGGAGGAACACCAGUGGCGAAGGCGACUUUCUGGUCUGUAACUGACGCUGAUGUGCGAAAGCGUGGGGAUCAAACAGGAUUAGAUACCCUGGUAGUCCACGCCGUAAACGAUGAGUGCUAAGUGUUAGGGGGUUUCCGCCCCUUAGUGCUGCAGCUAACGCAUUAAGCACUCCGCCUGGGGAGUACGACCGCAAGGUUGAAACUCAAAGGAAUUGACGGGGACCCGCACAAGCGGUGGAGCAUGUGGUUUAAUUCGAAGCAACGCGAAGAACCUUACCAAAUCUUGACAUCCUUUGACAACUCUAGAGAUAGAGCCUUCCCCUUCGGGGGACAAAGUGACAGGUGGUGCAUGGUUGUCGUCAGCUCGUGUCGUGAGAUGUUGGGUUAAGUCCCGCAACGAGCGCAGCCCUUAAGCUUAGUUGCCAUCAUUAAGUUGGGCACUCUAAGUUGACUGCCGGUGACAAACCGGUGGAAGGUGGGGAUGACGUCAAAUCAUCAUGCCCCUUAUGAUUUGGGCUACACACGUGCUACAAUGGACAAUACAAAGGGCAGCGAAAUCGCGAGGUCAAGCAAAUCCCAUAAAGUUGUUCUCAGUUCGGAUUGUAGUCUGCAACUCGACUAUAUGAAGCUGGAAUCGCUAGUAAUCGUAGAUCAGCAUGCUACGGUGAAUACGUUCCCGGGUCU
rnacentral:rRNA from 1 species